UAGGGAAUCUUCCGCAAUGGACGAAAGUCUGACGGAGCAACGCCGCGUGAGUGAAGAAGGAUUUCGGUUCGUAAAACUCUGUUUUUAGGGAAGAAAAAAUGUAUAGUAACUAUAUACAAAAGAGACGGUACCUAACCAGAAAGCCACGGCUAACUACGUGCCAGCAGCCGCGGUAAUACGUAGGUGGCAAGCGUUGUCCGGAAUUAUUGGGCGUAAAGCGCGCGCAGGUGGUUUAGAAAGUCUGAUGUGAAAGCCCACGGCUCAACCGUGGAGGGUCAUUGGAAACUAAUAAACUUGAGUGCAGGAGAGAAAAGUGGAAUUCCUAGUGUAGCGGUGAAAUGCGUAGAGAUUAGGAGGAACACCGGUGGCGAAAGCGGCUUUUUGGCCUGCAACUGACACUGAGGCGCGAAAGCGUGGGGAGCAAACAGG
rnacentral:rRNA from 1 species